rnacentral:rRNA from 1 species
AGAGUUUGAUCAUGGCUCAGAUUGAACGCUGGCGGCAUGCUUUACACAUGCAAGUCGAACGGCAGCACAGGGAGCUUGCUCCCGGGUGGCGAGUGGCGCACGGGUGAGUAAUACAUCGGAACGUGUCCUGUUGUGGGGGAUAACUGCUCGAAAGGGUGGCUAAUACCGCAUGAGACCUGAGGGUGAAAGCGGGGGAUCGCAAGACCUCGCGCAAUUGGAGCGGCCGAUGCCCGAUUAGCUAGUUGGUGAGGUAAAGGCUCACCAAGGCGACGAUCAGUAGCCGGACUGAGAGGUUGACCGGCCACAUUGGGACUGAGAUACGGCCCAG